GCGCUGCUGACGAGUCCCAAACAGGAAGAAACAGCUGUCCAGUGC
rfam:Echinostoma caproni strain Egypt genome assembly, scaffold: ECPE_scaffold0004394